rnacentral:rRNA from 1 species
UGGGGAAUUGUUCACAAUGGGCGCAAGCCUGAUGACGCAACGCCGCGUGGGGGAUGAAGGUCUUCGGAUCGUAAACCCCUGUCGAAUGGGACGAAAGACUCGCGAGUGAAUACUUCGCGAGAGUGACGGUACCGUUAAAGGAAGCCACGGCUAACUCUGUGCCAGCAGCCGCGGUAAUACAGAGGUGGCAAGCGUUGUUCGGAAUUACUGGGCGUAAAGGGCGCGUAGGCGGCCCUCUAAGUCAGACGUGAAAUCCCCCGGCUUAACCUGGGAACUGCGUCUGAUACUGGAGGGCUUGAGUAUGGGAGAGGGAUGUAGAAUUCCAGGUGUAGCGGUGAAAUGCGUAGAUAUCUGGAGGAAUACCGGUGGCGAAGGCGGCAUCCUGGACCAUUACUGACGCUGAGGCGCGAAAGCUAGGGGAGCAAACGGGAUUAGAUACCCCCGUAGUCCCUGAGCGGGCUGGCAAG